UACGUAGGGUGCGAGCGUUGUCCGGAAUUACUGGGCGUAAAGAGCUCGUAGGCGGUUUGUCGCGUUGUUCGUGAAAACUCACAACUCAAUUGUGGGCGUGCGGGCGAUACGGGCAGACUGGAGUACUGCAGGGGAGACUGGAAUUCCUGGUGUAGCGGUGGAAUGCGCAGAUAUCAGGAGGAACACCGGUGGCGAAGGCGGGUCUCUGGGCAGUAACUGACGCUGAGGAGCGAAAGCGUGGGGGAGCGAACAGG
rnacentral:rRNA from 1 species